rnacentral:SRP_RNA from 1 species
GGCGGGUCUCCCCGCAUUGUGGCGCGAGAACCUGGUCAGGUCCGGGAAGGAAGCAGCCACAGCCGAUGUCCGCAAGUGCCGGGGGUCAGGCUCGCCACC